rnacentral:rRNA from 1 species
AUUGAACGCUGGCGGCAUGCCUUACACAUGCAAGUCGAACGGUAACAGGUCUUCGGAUGCUGACGAGUGGCGAACGGGUGAGUAAUACAUCGGAACGUGCCUAGUAGUGGGGGAUAACUACUCGAAAGAGUGGCUAAUACCGCAUGAGAUCUACGGAUGAAAGCAGGGGAUCGCAAGACCUUGUGCUACUAGAGCGGCCGAUGGCAGAUUAGGUAGUUGGUGGGAUAAAGGCUUACCAAGCCGACGAUCUGUAGCUGGUCUGAGAGGACGACAAGCAACACUGGGACUAGGACACGGCCCAGACUCCUACGGGAGGCAGCAGUGGGGAAUUUUGGACAAUGGCCGAAAGCCUGAUCCAGCAAUGCCGCGUGCAGGAUGAAGGCCUUCGGGUUGUAAACUGCUUUUGUACGGAACGAAAAGCCCCGGGUUAAUACCCUGGGGUCAUGACGGUACCGUAAGAAUAAGCACCGGCUAACUACGUGCCAGCCGCCGCCGUAA